GAAGUUGGAACAGGUUGUGUCCGGGGUGAGAUGGAUCUGCAGUGAUGUUUCGUGCCCCUUUCCUGACUCGGGAAAUGUAAUGAUGAUGACAUGUAGAAGAGUGGAGGGGGAGUUCAAGAGCUUCACUGUACACACCGCUUCCACAAAGAGGGUGCUGAAGGCACCUCAGAGGUCGGAGCAGUGUCGGCCCCGCAGUGGCAGUGAAGCAGCGGCUUGUCAGGUGAGGACGGGCCAAUCUCCACGGAGAAGGAGCAUCACACAUUCCGUCGAGAACUUUUCCUGUGAAGACAUCUAUCAUUCUAUGGGAAGAGGUGACUCAUAGAUGGAAAAAUU